UUUUCCUACGGGGGGCAGCAGUGAGGAAUAUUGGUCAAUGGACGAGAGUCUGAACCAGCCAAGUAGCGUGAAGGAUGACUGCCCUAUGGGUUGUAAACUUCUUUUAUAAAGGAAUAAAACGAGGCACGUGUGCCUUUUUGCAUGUACUUUAUGAAUAAGGAUCGGCUAACUCCGUGCCAGCAGCCGCGGUAAUACGGAGGAUCCGAGCGUUAUCCGGAUUUAUUGGGUUUAAAGGGUGCGUAGGCGGUCCGUUAAGUCAGCGGUAAAAUUGCGGGGCUCAACCCCGUCGAGCCGUUGAAACUGGC
rnacentral:rRNA from 1 species